rnacentral:rRNA from 1 species
AAACAUGUCUCUUUGAUUAUAUUUAUAUAAAGAGUUUGACCUGCCCAGUGAUAUAAUUUAACGGCCGCAGUACUCUGACUGUGCAAAGGUAGCAUAAUAAUUUGCCUUAUAAUUGAUGGCUAGUAUGAAUGGUUUGACGAAAGCAUUUCUGUCUCAAAUAUAUUUUUCAUAAUUUAUCUUUUAGGUUAAAAGACCUAAAUGAAACAAAAGGACGAGAAGACCCUAUCGAGCUUUAAAAAAAUUUUAUGAGAAAAAAUAUUAUUAAGAUUUUUUUUACUAAAAAUGUUUUUGGUUGGGGCGACCUAGGAACAAAUAAAGCUUCCUUAAAUAAAUAAAUAAUAAUGCAAAGAUCCAACACAAUGUUGAUAAAUGGAAUUAGUUACCGUAGGGAUAACAGCGUUAUUUUCUCUAAGAGACCUUAUUAAGGAGAAAGUUUGCGACCUCGAUGUUGGAUUAAGAUAACUUAAAGGUGCAGAAGCUUUUGCAAGUUAGUCUGUUCGACUAUAAAAAUCUUACAUGAU